CUAAAACACAAUUGUUGGUGAACUGUAUUUACACACACAAGGCCAUAUACACUAUAACCAUCUCUGUGGGCUCAUUGCACAGACUCAUGCCACUGUAGCUGGACUCUGAAGAGGACACACCCUAAGAGGAAGGGCUUUGGAAACUCAGCUAAUUAUUCCUGCAGAUCCCCUGGUUAUUAGCAGGGACAGAGGCCAUCCUGCAACCACAGUCGGGCAGCCUCUGCCCCUGGCCACUCCACACGGCUCAGCAGCUCCCCAGUCUUCCGCCUUGGCAGAGCUUCCAACAUUUAAAAAUAACUUGGGACUGUCAAUUACAGAAAACAAGGGAAUACUGACACAUUAAAUCUUGAACACACCUCCCCCUUAGUAAAGCCCUUCUAUAAGGUAAGAAAUGGAAGUACCUCUAUGGAAGUGUGUCUUGGGAACUGUAGGUUUUCAUGUAUACUAUUGAUGUAGAAUAUCAUCCUCAGCAAACUGACACAAGAACAGAAAAUGAAACACCGCAUAUUCUCACUCAUAGGCGG
rnacentral:lncRNA from 1 species